rnacentral:rRNA from 1 species
GGACUACCGGGGUUUCUAAUCCUGUUUGCUCCCCACGCUUUCGUGCCUCAGCGUCAGUUACAGUUUAGUGAGCUGCCUACGCAAUCGGUGUUCUGUGUCAUAUCUAAGCAUUUCACCGCUACAUGACACAUUCCGCCCACUUCAAAUGUACUCAAGAUCAUCAGUAUCAAUGGCAAUUCCCAGGUUAGGCCUGGGGCUUUCACCACUGACUUAAUAAUCCGCCUACGCACCCUUUAAACCCAAUAAAUCCGGAUAACGCUUGGGACCUUCGUAUUACCGCGGCUGCUGGCAC